AUGAUUUGGUCGCACGGGGAAAUCCCCUGCAGCAAGAACAAGCCAUGGUUCCGGUUGCGCAGGGAAAUCCACAUCCAGCAAGAACAAGACAUCGUUCCUUCGCCUCCAGAACCAAACUCUCACCUCCGGAUGCACCUCGUCGGCGCUACAACGCUCUUUGCUAGACCCACUCUGGAAUCUCCUCGCGUCAAGGGCUGGAUGGGGAGUGAUGGGGAAAGGGGGGAGGGUGGAGAUUGGAAGAUGCGGCAGAGUCCUGGAAGGAGGCUGGUGGCGUUAAUUCUCAUGGAGGAGAUGGCAGGAGAUAGACGGAGGUGGAGGAGCUCGCAUCCUUGCGUAGGAAUGUGAAGCAUCAUCGAUGGGCGUGAUCUACUUCGGGAGGGUUCAAUCUGGCGCAUUGGAGACGGCUCAAGCAUCAAUGUCCACCACAGUAAUUGGAUCCCGAGGAGUGGGUGUCCCCGGGGUCAAGUAUUCAUCCCGAGCAUCUCAAGAGUUGUUGAUCUGUUGACCUCGGAUGGUAGGAGCUGGGAUGCAUCAAAAGUCGAAGCCAUGUUCUUCGCUAACGAUGCAAAGGAUAUCAAGCAGAUCGCCAUUGGAGGGCCAGGUGUGGAUGACUUCUUGGCAUGGAACCAUACGAAGAAUGGUGACUUUACAGUCCGGUCUGCCUACCAUCUGAAAAUGGAUAUGAAGAAGGCGCGUGGGGGCCGGCCUGAGGGCUCAAGCUCUCUCCACAGGCACCGUGGUUACAUGGCUCUUUGGGAUACCGACGCCCCGAACAAGACGAAGAUUCACCUAUGGCGCCUCAUCCGCAAUGGCCUGGCUGUUGGAGCGGAGCUUCAUCGCCGUCGAAUUAAGCCUGGUGUGUUUUGCACGGUGUGUGGACGGGAGGAGACAACCCUGCAUCGAUUUUGGCACUGCCAGCAUUCUGUCCAGGUCUGGCGCGGGCUGCAGGCGCAACUUCAAACUAAUGUGCCAGCUCCUCCUUCCCACCUGGAGUCCCAUGGACCCGUGGCCCGUUGGCUGCUGGAAUGGCUCUCGGAUGCGCCGGCUGGUGACCGCUCGAUCAUGGCCCAGACUACGUACGGGCUCCGGCUUGCAAGGAACGAGGCGAGAGACGGUGUCCGGAUUGCACCGCCCCAAGAUGUGGCUGCCAGGGUGAUCUCCUGCAUGCAAGAGUGGACGGUGGCUAAUGCGACAGUGGCUGUCCGUGCUCCCACUUCUAGGACUGCAGAUAGCUGGUCACCUCCUGAGGAAGGCUGGAUGAAGGUGAAUUCUGACGGGGCAGUGGCACGGAGCAGGUCCAAUGGCGGCGGUGGGCUCGUCUUGCGCGAUCAUAAUGGUGGUUUUAUCGCAGGUGCUUGCCACUUCUUCCCAGGUGUUUCCGACCCGGAGUCUACGGAAGUCCUAGCCUGUGCCAAGAUGCUCGAGGUGGCCAAGGAGUGCAAUGUGCAACGAAUCCAUGUUGAGUUGGACUGCAAGGGAGUGGUGCAGAUGCUCCAGAAUCAGACUAAAAACCUCUCCCCUAUCGGGCCCUGGGUGGAGGCGAUCAAGGACUCCCUGCGUGGAUUUGUAGAUUUUAGGGUUUCUUGGGUGGGUCGGUCUGCAAAUGCUGCAGCUCAUAAGCUAGCUAAAGUUGCAGUGGGUGAGGAACGGGACCAUGUGUGGCGUAGUUUCCCCCCUGAUUGUAUCCUGGAUGUUAUUUCGGAUGACAUUCCGAGCUUUGGUUAA
rnacentral:rRNA from 1 species